GACAGCAGUGCUGGGGGAGGGCAGAGAAAAUGAGUGGUAGGAGCAGAACUAGGGCUUCAGGAGGAGUCGCUAUCAUUCCUUCCCUUCACAUCCGCUGUUCACUGCACCCAGAGCCCCAGGCCAAGAGAACGACUGCUCAUUCCUGAGAUAAGGAUCCUGCUGCCAUCUGCCAGAUCCUGAGGUGGCUCAAGGCAAGCCAGGGAUGAGCCAGAGCUCGGCUGAGAGCAGAGGCUCCACCCUGGAGAACAGCCGCCAGGAGCACCCACGCAGGGAGGACUCUCUCCAUGCCAUAGGAGCUUGCCAGGCAGGAGGGUGCUGCCAGAACUCCUGACCCUCCCUCUGGAGGUGAGGGAGUGGAGAAAAGGCAGCUCCAGCUGAGGGUAUUGAAGCGUGAAUGCAGUCAGCACUGAGUGUCAUCACACGCCCAUAGACGCACCACACAGGGGGAUGUCCAGGUCCCCACGACACAGCCAGAGCCUCCCGAGUGGACUCCGCCAGCCCUGCUCUCACCAGACAGAGAGGGCUGCGGCUAUCCUGCCAGAAAUGUCAUCAUUCCCACACAGGUGCACACACCCACACACUCACAUAGACACUCACGCUCACACAAAGGCUGAAAAUGCCCCCCACUUCCCACGUUCCUCUUUCGUGCCCCUUCAUCCCAAAUCCAGAUCGCAGGAGGGACUCAGCGAUGUCGGCACACAAUGUCGCUUGGCGGGACUUGCCACAACCUGGGCGGGAAGAUACAAUGUCCAAACUUGAGCCCUGCUCUGCAGACCUGUCCUGGUGGGGCGAGAGGUUUCUGGAGUUGCCAUCUCUGCCACCCUCAGGCCUCAUCCUGGCAGGGGCACUAUCCUGGAGCUCUCAUAGCACAGGGGAGCUCUCACCGGCCACGAUGGCAGCAAUCACUCAGACUUACACCAGCCUUGGUCUCUUGCUCUUUCAAGGCAAGUGACUCCCCUGCCCCUUGGGUCUGGCCUUGGAAGAGGAAAAGUAGCCCUGGGAAUAGCACACAGUGUGAUGAAAAUUGAUCUUUCCCAGGCUCCUCCUCGGCCCUCCUACCCCACCUCCAGCUCCCGCAGAGUAAUCCCUGUCCUCCCAGGCACAGCACGAGCUUGCAGGGCACCUGCACACAUGUGUGAGCCCGACAGGGGACAUGCAAAGAUCCACUCAAAGACCUUCACACCACAGACACCCACCCUGAUCCUCAGGCACAGGCUCUCCUGGGCGGAGGACCCCUGGCAAUACCCACAUCCGGCUGCAGCAGGGCAAGAGUGGGCAGCACCCCUCCAGGCAUCUCAGGCAGCUUCAGGCUCCCCUGUGAGCCCUUGCUGCACGUUCCUGCCCACCUAGCCUCAUGCUGGCUGUCCCUGCCCCUGCCCAGCCCCGUACCUGGGCUCAGGCACACGAGCAGCAGGUGGAAUGCUCCUCCAGCUCCCAUGUCUCUAGGCUCGGUGUUUCCUCCGCCUGGGCUGGGUAUCCCGUGGG